rnacentral:rRNA from 1 species
UAACACGUGGAUAACCUACAUAUAAGACUGGGAUAACUUCGGGAAACCGGAGCUAAUACCGGAUAAUAUUUUGAACCGCAUGGUUCAAAAGUGAAAGACGGUCUUGCUGUCACUUAUAGAUGGAUCCGCGCUGCAUUAGCUAGUUGGUAAGGUAACGGCUUACCAAGGCAACGAUGCAUAGCCGACCUGAGAGGGUGAUCGGCCACACUGGAACUGAGACACGGUCCAG